AUUGAACGCUGGCGGCGUGCUUAACACAUGCAAGUCGAUCGGUAACGCGGGGGCAACCCUGGCGACGAGAGGCGGACGGGUGAGGAACGCUUGGGAAUCUGCCUAUCAGCGGGGGACAACACGGGGAAACUCGUGCUAAUACCGCAUACGCUCUACGGAGGAAAGCCGGGGACCGCAAGGCCUGGCACUGAUAGAUGAGCCCAAGCCGGAUUAGCUAGUUGGCGGGGUAACGGCCCACCAAGGCGACGAUCCGUAGCCGGUCUGAGAGGACGAUCAGCCACACUGGAACUGAGACACGGUCCAGACUCCUACGGGAGGCAGAAGUGGGGAAUAUUGGACAAUGGGGGAAACCCUGAUCCAGCGACGCCGCGUGGGUGAAGAAGGCCUGCGGGUUGUAAAGCCCUUUCGGUAGGGACGAAAGCUCCCGACCUAACACGUCGGGAGGUUGACUUAACCUACAGAAGAAGCACCGGCUAACUCUGUGCCAGCCGCCGCCGUAAAAC
rnacentral:rRNA from 1 species